GAUGAACGCUGGUGGCGUGCCUAAUACAUGCAAGUCGAGCGAACGGACGAGAAGCUUGCUUCUCUGAUGUUAGCGGCGGACGGGUGAGUAACACGUGGAUAACCUACCUAUAAGACUGGGAUAACCUCGGGAAACCGGAGCUAAUACCGGAUAAUAUUUUGAACCGCAUGGUUCAAAAGUGAAAGACGGUCUUGCUGUCACUUAUAGAUGGAUCCGCGCUGCAUUAGCUAGUUGGUAAGGUAACGGCUUACCAAGGCAACGAUGCAUAGCCGACCUGAGAGGGUGAUCGGCCACACUGGAACUGAGACACGGUCCAGACUCCUACGGGAGGCAGCAGUAGGGAAUCUUCCGCAAUGGGCGAAAGCCUGACGGAGCAACGCCGCGUGAGUGAUGAAGGUCUUCGGAUCGUAAAACUCUGUUAUUAGGGAAGAACAUAUGUGUAAGUAACUGUGCACAUCUUGACGGUACCUAAUCAGAAAGCCACGGCUAACUACGUGCCAGCAGCCGCGGUAAUACGUAGGUGGCAAGCGUUAUCCGGAAUUAUUGGGCGUAAAGCGCGCGUAGGCGGUUUUUUAAGUCUGAUGUGAAAGCCCACGGCUCAACCGUGGAGGGUCAUUGGAAACUGGAAAACUUGAGUGCAGAAGAGGAAAGUGGAAUUCCAUGUGUAGCGGUGAAAUGCGCAGAGAUAUGGAGGAACACCAGUGGCGAAGGCGACUUUCUGGUCUGUAACUGACGCUGAUGUGCGAAAGCGUGGGGAUCAAACAGGAUUAGAUACCCUGGUAGUCCACGCCGUAAACGAUGAGUGCUAAGUGUUAGGGGGUUUCCGCCCCUUAGUGCUGCAGCUAACGCAUUAAGCACUCCGCCUGGGGAGUACGACCGCAAGGUUGAAACUCAAAGGAAUUGACGGGGACCCGCACAAGCGGUGGAGCAUGUGGUUUAAUUCGAAGCAACGCGAAGAACCUUACCAAAUCUUGACAUCCUUUGACAACUCUAGAGAUAGAGCUUUCCCCUUCGGGGGACAAAGUGACAGGUGGUGCAUGGUUGUCGUCAGCUCGUGUCGUGAGAUGUUGGGUUAAGUCCCGCAACGAGCGCAACCCUUAAGCUUAGUUGCCAUCAUUAAGUUGGGCACUCUAAGUUGACUGCCGGUGACAAACCGGAGGAAGGUGGGGAUGACGUCAAAUCAUCAUGCCCCUUAUGAUUUGGGCUACACACGUGCUACAAUGGGCAAUACAAAGGGCAGCGAAACCGCGAGGUCAAGCAAAUCCCAUAAAGUUGUUCUCAGUUCGGAUUGUAGUCUGCAACUCGACUACAUGAAGCUGGAAUCGCUAGUAAUCGUAGAUCAGCAUGCUACGGUGAAUACGUUCCCGGGUCU
rnacentral:rRNA from 1 species